rnacentral:rRNA from 1 species
UACGUAGGGACCAAGCGUUGUCCGGAAUCAUUGGGCGUAAAGCGCGCGUAGGUGGCUAUUUAAGUCCGCUGUGAAAGUCAAAGGCUCAACCUUUGAAAGCCGGUGGAUACUGGAUGGCUAGAGUACGGAAGAGGCGAGUGGAAUUCCUGGUGUAGCGGUGGAAUGCGCAGAUAUCAGGAGGAUCACCAAUAGCGAAGGCAGCUCGCUGGGACGUUACUGACACUGAGGCGCGAAAGCGUGGGGAGCGAACAGG